CAGGCUUAACACAUGCAAGUCGAGGGGCAGCAUGGUCUUAGCUUGCUAAGGCCGAUGGCGACCGGCGCACGGGUGAGUAACACGUAUCCAACCUGCCGUCUACUCUUGGACAGCCUUCUGAAAGGAAGAUUAAUACAAGAUGGCAUCAUGAGUCCGCAUGUUCACAUGAUUAAAGGUAUUCCGGUAGACGAUGGGGAUGCGUUCCAUUAGAUAGUAGGCGGGGUAACGGCCCACCUAGUCUUCGAUGGAUAGGGGUUCUGAGAGGAAGGUCCCCCACAUUGGAACUGAGACACGGUCCAAACUCCUACGGGAGGCAGCAGUGAGGAAUAUUGGUCAAUGGGCGAGAGCCUGAACCAGCCAAGUAGCGUGAAGGAUGACUGCCCUAUGGGUUGUAAACUUCUUUUAUAAAGGAAUAAAGUCGGGUAUGGAUACCCGUUUGCAUGUACUUUAUGAAUAAGGAUCGGCUAACUCCGUGCCAGCAGCCGCGGUAAUACGGAGGAUCCGAGCGUUAUCCGGAUUUAUUGGGUUUAAAGGGAGCGUAGAUGGAUGUUUAAGUCAGUUGUGAAAGUUUGCGGCUCAACCGUAAAAUUGCAGUUGAUACUGGAUAUCUUGAGUGCAGUUGAGGCAGGCGGAAUUCGUGGUGUAGCGGUGAAAUGCUUAGAUAUCACGAAGAACUCCGAUUGCGAAGGCAGCCUGCUAAGCUGCAACUGACAUUGGGGCUCGAAAGUGUGGGUAUCAAACAGGAUUAGAUACCCUGGUAGUCCACACGGUAAACGAUGAAUACUCGCUGUUUGCGAUAUACUGCAAGCGGCCAAGCGAAAGCGUUAAGUAUUCCACCUGGGGAGUACGCCGGCAACGGUGAAACUCAAAGGAAUUGACGGGGGCCCGCACAAGCGGAGGAACAUGUGGUUUAAUUCGAUGAUACGCGAGGAACCUUACCCGGGCUUAAAUUGCAGAUGAAUUACGGUGAAAGCCGUAAGCCGCAAGGCAUCUGUGAAGGUGCUGCAUGGUUGUCGUCAGCUCGUGCCGUGAGGUGUCGGCUUAAGUGCCAUAACGAGCGCAACCCUUGUUGUCAGUUACUAACAGGUUCCGCUGAGGACUCUGACAAGACUGCCAUCGUAAGAUGUGAGGAAGGUGGGGAUGACGUCAAAUCAGCACGGCCCUUACGUCCGGGGCUACACACGUGUUACAAUGGGGGGUACAGAGGGCCGCUACCACGCGAGUGGAUGCCAAUCCCCAAAACCUCUCUCAGUUCGGACUGGAGUCUGCAACCCGACUCCACGAAGCUGGAUUCGCUAGUAAUCGCGCAUCAGCCACGGCGCGGUGAAUACGUUCCCGGGCCUUGUACACACCGCCCGUCAAGCCAUGGGAGCCGGGGGUACCUGAAGUGCGUAACCGCGAGGAGCGCCCUAGGGUAAAACUGGUGACUGGGG
rnacentral:rRNA from 1 species